rnacentral:lncRNA from 1 species
GCUUUAGCCUUAGGUGGGGGAGUUUUCCAUUUCCCUUUCAGCUUAUAUUAAAUUACUUUCCUUUCUUGUCAUAGGCAUAAUCCUUUGAUGGGAAAACCUUGACGGCCUUUCAGAAGAGGAAGAAAGCCCUCCUCUGCAGAGUCACCAGGGACUGGCUAUUACUAAUUGAUUCUACAUGGAGAACACACAGUGGUGACAGCCAUCAGUCUGAAACAGAACAAAACAUUUGACUCUUGGGAAAAGCAAAACCAGUGCCCUCU